UCGGGAAUUUUGGGCAAUGGGCGAAAGCCUGACCCAGCAACGCCGCGUGAAGGAUGAAGUAUUUCGGUAUGUAAACUUCGUAAGAAUAGGAAGAAUAAAUGACGGUACUAUUUGUAAGGUCCGGCUAACUACGUGCCAGCAGCCGCGGUAAUACGUAGGGACCAAGCGUUGUUCGGAUUUACUGGGCGUAAAGGGCGCGUAGGCGGUGUGUCAAGUCAGUUGUGAAAUCUCCGAGCUUAACUCGGAACGGUCAACUGAUACUGUCACACUAGAGUACAGAAGGGGCAAUCGGAAUUCUUGGUGUAGCGGUGAAAUGCGUAGAUAUUAGGAAGAACACCAGUGGCGAAGGCGGCCAACUGGCUCGAUACUGACGCUGAGGUGCGAAAGCGUGGGGAGCAAACAGGAUUAGAUACCCCCGUAGUCCCUGAGCGGGCUGGCAAGGCGCAU
rnacentral:rRNA from 1 species